UGGGGAAUAUUGCGCAAUGGGGGAAACCCUGACGCAGCGACGCCGCGUGUGGGAUGAAGGUCUUCGGAUUGUAAACCACUGUCGCGAGGGACGAAGCUCUGACGGUACCUCGAAAGGAAGCACCGGCUAACUCUGUGCCAGCAGCCGCGGUAAUACAGAGGGUGCGAGCGUUGUCCGGAAUCACUGGGCGUAAAGGGCGCGUAGGCGGCCCGGUAAGUAGGGGGUGAAAUCUCAUGGCUCAACUGUGAGGCUGCCUUCUAGACUGCCAGGCUUGAGCACAGUAGAGGCGAGUGGAAUUCCCGGUGUAGCGGUGGAAUGCGUAGAGAUCGGGAAGAACAUCGGUGGCGAAGGCGGCUCGCUGGGCUGUUGCUGACGCUGAGGCGCGAAAGCGUGGGGAGCAAACAGGAUUAGAUACCCCGAUAGUCCCUGAGCGGGCUGGCAAGGCGCAU
rnacentral:rRNA from 1 species